UACGUAGGGUCCGAGCGUUGUCCGGAAUUAUUGGGCGUAAAGAGCUCGUAGGCGGUUUGUCGCGUCUGCUGUGAAAUCCCGAGGCUCAACCUCGGGUCUGCAGUGGGUACGGGCAGACUGGAGUGCGGUGGGGGAGAAUGGAAUUCCUGGUGUAGCGGUGGAAUGCGCAGAUAUCAGGAGGAACACCGAUGGCGAAGGCAGUUCUCUGGGCCGUAACUGACGCUGAGGAGCGAAAGCGUGGGGAGCGAACAGG
rnacentral:rRNA from 1 species